UACAGGGGGGGCAAGCGUUGUUCGGAAUUACUGGGCGUAAAGGGUCUGUAGGUGGCCAACUAAGUCAGACGUGAAAUCCCUCAGCUUAACUGGGGAACUGCGUCUGAUACUGGAUGGCUUGAGUGCGGAAGAGGCGAGUGGAAUUCCUGGUGUAGCGGUGAAAUGCGCAGAUAUCAGGAGGAACACCGAUGGCGAAGGCAGCUCGCUGGGACGGUACUGACGCUGAGACGCGAAAGCGUGGGGAGCAAACAGG
rnacentral:rRNA from 1 species